rnacentral:rRNA from 1 species
GUGCAGCAGGCGAGAAUCCUCCGCAAUGCGCGAAAGCGCGACGGGGCCACCCCGAGUGCCGCCCGCUGAGGGCGGCUUUUCCCCGGUGUAGACAGCCGGGGGAAUAAGGGGAGGGCAAGUCUGGUGUCAGCCGCCGCGGUAAUACCAGCUCCCCGAGUGGUGGGGACGAUUAUUGGGCCUAAAGCGUCCGUAGCCGGCCCGGCAAGUCUCCCGUUAAAAUCCAGCGAUCUAAUCGCUGGACUGCGGGAGAUACUGUCGGGCUAGGGGGCGGGAGAGGCCGGCGGUAUUCCCGGGGUAGGGGUGAAAUCCUAUAAUCCCGGGAGGACCACCAGUGGCGAAGGCUGCCGGCUGGAACGCGCCCGACGGUGAGGGACGAAAGCCGGGGGAGCGAACCGGAUUAGAUACCCGUGUAGU